rnacentral:rRNA from 1 species
UGGCGGUAUGCUUAACACAUGCAAGUCGAACGGAGCUUUUCGGAGCUUAGUGGCGGACGGGUGAGUAACGCGUGAGAAUCUGCCUUUUGGACCGGGACAACUGCGGGAAACGGCAGCUAAGACCGGAUGUGCCUUCGGGUGAAAUAUUCAUAGCCAAAAGAGGAGCUCGCGACCGAUUAGCUAGUUGGUGGGGUAAGAGCCUACCAAGGCUGCGAUCGGUAGCCGGUUUGAGAGGACGACCGGCCACACUGGGACUGAGACACGGCCCAGACUCCUACGGGAGGCAGCAGUGGGGAAUUUUCCGCAAUGGGCGAAAGCCUGACGGAGCAAUACCGCGUGAGGGAGGAAGGCUCUUGGGUCGUAAACCUCUUUUCUCAGGGAAGAAGCAAUGACGGUACCUGAGGAAUCAGCAUCGGCUAACUCCGUGCCAGCAGCCGCGGUAAUACGGAGGAUGCAAGCGUUAUCCGGAAUGAUUGGGCGUAAAGCGUCCGCAGGUGGCACAUCAAGUCUGCUGUCAAAGCCCCCAGCUUAACUGGGAAGAGGCGGUGGAAACUGGUGAGCUAGAGAGCAAUAGGGGUAGAGGGAAUUCCCGGUGUAGCGGUGAAAUGCGUAGAGAUCGGGAAGAACACCAGUGGCGAAAGCGCUCUACUAGGUUGCAACUGACACUGAGGGACGAAAGCUAGGGGAGCGAAUGGGAUUAGAUACCCCAGUAGUCCUAGCCGUAAACGAUGGAUACUAGGCGUUUCUCGUAUCGACCCGAG